rnacentral:rRNA from 1 species
UACGUAGGUGGCAAGCGUUAUCCGGAUUUACUGGGCGUAAAGGGUGCGUAGGCGGUCUUUCAAGUCAGGAGUGAAAGGCUACGGCUCAACCGUAGUAAGCUCUUGAAACUGUAAGACUUGAGUGCAGGAGAGGAGAGUGGAAUUCCUAGUGUAUCGGUGAAAUGCGUAGAUAUUAGGAGGAAUACCAGUGGCGAAGGCGACUUUCUGGACUUAUACUGACGCUGAGGAACGAAAGUGUGGGGAGCAAACAGGAUUAGAUACCCCCGUAGUCCCUGA